AGGCCUGAUUUGGCUGAUUAGGCUAGCUAGGUGAGACUCCUUCUUCCCUCUUGGUUCUAUGUGCAUUCCUCCUGAAGCCACAUAGUCAGUUGAAGAAGAGAUCCUUCCCUGAUUAAGAUAGAUCAGUCCUUGGCCAAGGGUGUAUAAGAGCUGUGCUCCCUGCAAGAAUCUCCAAACAAACUCUCUUAAGAUUCUAAUUUAUUUUUUUAAGAAUAUGAAACAGUUCAUGGAUACUACCCAUCACAUUUCCUUCUGUAGUACUGAGG
rnacentral:snRNA from 1 species